rnacentral:lncRNA from 1 species
CUGGUGUCCUGCCCAGCACAGGGGCCUGGAGGGACCUGCUGCUGGGGGUGGGGGAAUCUGGCACAUGCCUGAGGACAAGGGUGGGACCAGGGCCUCCCUGAGCUCCACCAUGAAGCUGCUCACAGUGCCCAGGCCCUGACGCUGGUUACACAAGGGCUGGGCCUGCCUUCCCGCCCACUGGGGGUGUGGGACUGUGUGUGCGCCCUGGCCUCAUCACACACCUGCUGUGUGACCCGGCACAGGUUUGGCAGCCUCUCUGUUUGAGCAUGUCUGAGAGGCGUGCCGAGAUUCCCAGAGGCAAGAUGAUGAAUGGUGUCCCUCCAGAACAGAGCAACUGCAGGAACCUGAUUCCAGGACGAGUCACCAUGAGGAGGCCAGGGACCAGGCCACCUGGCCACCAAGGGUCUCACUCUCUCGCCCUGGCUGGAGUGCAUGAUGCGAUCUUGGCUCAACUGCAACCUCGACCUCCUGAGUUCAAGCGAUUCUCGUGCCUCAGCCUCCCGAGUAGCUGUGAUUACAAGUGUGUGCCACCAUGCCGGGCUAAUUUUUGUAUUUUUAGUAAAGAUAGGGUUUCGGCAUGUUGGCCAGGCUGGUUUUGAACUCCUGGCCUCAAGUGAUCCGCCCAACUUGGCCUCCCAAAGUGCUGAGAUUACAGGCUUGAGCCACUGCGCCCGGCCGUAGAGCUUCCAUUUCUAAAUAAUUCCAUUAGAAAUUCCAGAAUUGGAUGCUGUUGGACCAUGGGCUCAUCACUGAACCAGCCACUGUAUCCAGGAGCAUAGAAGACGCUGAUUGGCCAGUCCUGAGUCACGUCCUUACCCCACACUUCCAACACACACACACACACACACACAGUUUGGGGGCUCAGCCCCACCCACACUGCAAGGAAUGAGCGUGGGGGAGGGAGGUUCUCCAAGGAAAAUCCAUGUGUUGGUUGGAAGGAGAGAAAUGGAUGCUGAGACAGGCAAAACAGUGGGUGUCCACUGUGCCUGGCCUUGGUCCCAGGAAGAAGCAGAGCCCAUGGUCAGUGGGGAUGGCUCAGGGAGACCCCUUUACUGCAGCUUCAAGAGAAGGGUGGAGGGUUUCUGGAAUCAGCCAGUGUGGUUUGGGCCCCAGAUUUCUUCCCCAUUUCUGCCGGCCUCAGGCUACCAGGGGUCUCCCUUCACAGGCAGCGUGGGCUCUUGGACCCCAAGCUGUUCAUGGGGCCUGUGACUCCAGCCCAGGGAAGGCAGGGUUCAGGGGAUAUGCAUGGCAGUGGACAGCAGCCCCCAGCGAGGCAGAGGGCAUGGGAGGCUCCAGGCGGAGCCCUCCCUACGGGUCCCACCCAGUCCCUGCCUUGGGUGGUGGGACCUGUACCCUGAGGCCUCUGAAGCCACCAGGUCCUGUCCUGAUGGGCAUCUGGAGUCCCUGACCCUAGCCCCUCUGAGGUCUCUGGUCGCUGAGGUGGGGACUCAGCGUCCUCUUCCCUGGGAAGACUCACUUCCCACAAAGCUAGGUCCGCCGCCAACCCCCAGCCCCAACAUUUAGAGCUUUUAUUUUGAAAAAUAAAAAAAUAUGUUGAACAUUUCAAGAUGACUUUUCCCCUGAGCCACCACUGCCCCGCUGUGGUCCCAGGGAAGAUGCCGUUGAUAGCGGAGAUUAGGGGAGGACCCCUGCGCCUCUGGCUUUAGGAAGGGUCUCCAAAGAGCCUAGUUGCCCCUUUUGCCCUUCAUUCAUUCACCUGCACUCAAGGAUGUUCUUGGAGGUGGGAGGGCACCCACUUGCCGAGCCCUGACGGCCUGCAAAUGAGUUCUCAAAUCCCUCCUUUCAUGCUGGUGGCUGUUCUGGGAGGUGGUCCCGCCAUCAGCCUAUCCAUCAGACGAGGGGUUGGGGAGGGUCCCCAAGGCAUACUUUACCCAGAUUCUCUGGCAUGGCACAGCCAGUACGAGGCCCCACCAUGAAGCCACGACCUUCCCAGCCUCACUCUUGCCUAAAAGAACGGGAUGUGAGGUCAGGGAGGGAGAGGGCUGAUGAGGGGUCCUGGAAGGGCAGGAGCCCCCAUCUCAAGAAGAGAGAUCAGUGCUGAGGCCCAGCAGCAGGCAGCCCCACCAGGGACCAGGAGGAGGGCUUCCUCCUGGCGUCUCCAUGCCACAAGAUGUAAAAUAAUCCCCUCGGCUCAGAAAAACACAUUUUAUGGCCAUCUGACUCACUUCCCACAAAGCUAGGUCCACCGCCACCCCCCAGCCCCAACAUUUAGAGCUUUUGUUUUGAAAAAUAAAAAAAUAUGUUGAAAAUUUCAAGAUGACUUUUGAACAUAAAUUGUUCCUUUCCUCACCCUCGUCCCAGGCCCCCC